ensembl:lncRNA
UAUGGACCUUCUCACAGCCGACAUGGAAUUGAAAGUGGUCGUCGCGUCAAGGCAUCUGAUCACUGCGUGUUCGCUCGUAGGAAUGGAUAUUCCAACAGCGGACUCAAGUUUGUCAGAAUUGCGACAUGAUCCAAACCUUUUGGGAUCGACAAGUGUUCAAGCUUGACUGAGGAAUUUGGGGCUCCUGCCACAGCCAGAGGACGAGGGGCUUUGUGCAUUUCGGAAGAAGGAAGUGGACUUUCACCGGCUCGGGGAGAAUUUUAACAAGAAAAGGACUUGCUGAAUGUUUCAUACACUUAAUUCUGCAGCCGUCACACCAUUCUGGACUGGAAGGCAAUCUUGCCAGACCAGUUCAGAGGGAGCAGAGAGAGCAGCUCUGUCCAAAUCAACGAUGUGGUUGUCGUUUAAUACAUUGUUAGUAGUACUUUUGAUAGUUUGUGUAAAAGAUCUUCUUUUAGUUAGUUUGUCCACAAGCGCAACACGACCGCACAUUGAGGAAACGGUAGAUUAAAUUUUCGUAAGAGCCUAUACACUGAAAAUUGUUGCUAAAUUAAAAUAAUCAGAAAAAGUCAGAAAAUCUUUAAAUAACGUUCCAUCCGUUAUAUUGCUUGAGAAAUAAAUAGAAAUGCACAAGGAUUUAAACAUCGUAACAAUGAAAAAACAAAAAGUUAUCAGCUUGGUCGGUUUUGUUUCAGCCUCUUAGCAAAUAUCGACUAUGGUUCUUGGAUGUUAUCCGAUAAAAUUGCUGGGGGGCAACAGUCAAUCAGCCCCCCUUGGCAUCAAAUUUGAGUCGAGAUUUGAACUGUUGUGAAUUAUAUGCAGCACAUGUUCAUCACACCUGAGACGUGAUCUGGAUCAUAAGGCUGGAAGGUAUUUCCUUCACAGUUUAGAAUCACAUUUGUUCAUGAAAAACAAAUUGUAUCUGUUUCCUUGUGGAUUCCCAUUCUUUGCUCACUGUCAUUUCCAAAAGACUUCAUCUUUUGUUGUUUUCUUGAAAUCAAUUUCUAUUUAAAACCGGUGUUUUAAACAAAACCCUGUGACCUUUUCACCUACACUGAGCAUGUGGGUGUUGACG